rnacentral:rRNA from 1 species
AGUGAACGCUGGCGGUAGGCCUAACACAUGCAAGUCGAACGGCAGCACAGUAAGAGCUUGCUCUUACGGGUGGCGAGUGGCGGACGGGUGAGGAAUACAUCGGAAUCUACUUUUUCGUGGGGGAUAACGUAGGGAAACUUACGCUAAUACCGCAUACGACCUAUGGGUGAAAGCAGGGGAUCUUCGGACCUUGCGCGAUUGAAUGAGCCGAUGUCGGAUUAGCUAGUUGGCGGGGUAAAGGCCCACCAAGGCGACGAUCCGUAGCUGGUCUGAGAGGAUGAUCAGCCACACUGGAACUGAGACACGGUCCAGACUCCUACGGGAGGCAGCAGUGGGGAAUAUUGGACAAUGGGCGCAAGCCUGAUCCAGCCAUACCGCGUGGGUGAAGAAGGCCUUCGGGUUGUAAAGCCCCUUUGUUGGGAAAGAAAAGCAGCAGGUUAAUACCCCGCUGUUCUGACGGUACCCAAAGAAUAAGCACCGGCUAACUUCGUG